GAUGAACGCUGGCGGAGGGACGAAUACAUGCAAGUCGAGCGAACAGACGAGGAGCUUGCUCCUCUGACGUUAGCGGCGGACGGGUGAGUAACACGUGGAUAACCUACCUAUAAGACUGGGAUAACUUCGGGAAACCGGAGCUAAUACCGGAUAAUAUAUUGAACCGCAUGGUUCAAUAGUGAAAGACGGUUUUGCUGUCACUUAUAGAUGGACCCGCGCCGCAUUAGCUAGUUGGUAAGGUAACGGCUUACCAAGGCAACGAUGCGUAGCCGACCUGAGAGGGUGAUCGGCCACACUGGAACUGAGACACGGUCCAGACUCCUACGGGAGGCAGCAGUAGGGAAUCUUCCGCAAUGGGCGAAAGCCUGACGGAGCAACGCCGCGUGAGUGAUGAAGGUCUUCGGAUCGUAAAACUCUGUUAUUAGGGAAGAACAAAUGUGUAAGUAACUAUGCACGUCUUGACGGUACCUAAUCAGAAAGCCACGGCUAACUACGUG
rnacentral:rRNA from 1 species